rnacentral:tRNA from 1 species
GGGGGUAUAGCUCAGUUGGGAGAGCACCUGCCUUGCAAGCAGGGGGUCGCGAGUUCGAGUCUCGCUAUCUCCAC